rnacentral:rRNA from 1 species
AUUGAACGCUGGCGGCAUGCCUUACACAUGCAAGUCGAACGGUAACGGGCCUUCGGGCGCCGACGAGUGGCGAACGGGUGAGUAAUGCAUCGGAACGUACCUUUCAGUGGGGGAUAACGUAGCGAAAGUUACGCUAAUACCGCAUAUUCUGUGAGCAGGAAAGCAGGGGAUCGCAGGACCUUGCGCUGAUUGAGCGGCCGAUGUCAGAUUAGCUAGUUGGUGAGGUAAAGGCUCACCAAGGCGACGAUCUGUAGCGGGUCUGAGAGGAUGAUCAGCCACACGGGAACUGAGACACGGUCCAGACUCCUACGGGAGGCAGCAGUGGGGAAUUUUGGACAAUGGGGGCAACCCUGAUCCAGCCAUGCCGCGUGAGUGAAGAAGGCCUUCGGGUUGUAAAGCUCUUUCGGCCGGGAAGAAAUCGUAUGGGCUAAUACCCUGUGCGGAUGACGGUACCGGCAUAAGAAGCACCGGCUAACUACGUGCCAGCAGCAGCCGCGGUAA